CAGCAGCCACGGUAAUACGAAGGGUGCAAGCGUUAAUCGGAAUUACUGGGCGUAAAGCGUGCGUAGGCGGUGAGUUAAGUCUGCUGUGAAAGCCCUGGGCUCAACCUGGGAAUUGCAGUGGAUACUGGGUCACUAGAGUGUGGUAGAGGAUAGUGGAAUUUCCGGUGUAGCAGUGAAAUGCGUAGAGAUCGGAAGGAACAUCUGUGGCGAAGGCGACUAUCUGGGCCAACACUGACACUGAGGCACGAAAGCGUGGGGAGCAAACAGGAUUAGAUACCCCCGUAGUCCCUGUCUCUUAUAC
rnacentral:rRNA from 1 species